rnacentral:SRP_RNA from 1 species
CCGUGCUACACGGGGAGGUAGCGGUGCCCUGUACCUGCAAUCCGCUAUAGCAGGGUGGAAUUCCUGUCCCCGGCAUUAUUCCGUGGGGUCUGACCGUUGUAAGUGACGUUGAAGAUUGGGUCUUACGCAAUACGAACUUGUGAACCCCGUCAGGUCCGGAAGGAAGCAGCGGUAAGCAGGAACUCGUGUGUGCCGUAAGGGCGCCUGGUCCGAGUUAACUGCAGCGGUAACGCUCGGGGAGUAAUCGUCAAAGACAGGUGCACGG